rnacentral:rRNA from 1 species
UACUCUUGACAUCCAGAGAAUUUAGCAGAGAUGCUUUAGUGCCUUCGGGAACUCUGAGACAGGUGCUGCAUGGCUGUCGUCAGCUCGUGUUGUGAAAUGUUGGGUUAAGUCCCGCAACGAGCGCAACCCUUAUCCUUUGUUGCCAGCACAUAAUGGUGGGAACUCAAAGGAGACUGCCGGUGAUAAACCGGAGGAAGGUGGGGAUGACGUCAAGUCAUCAUGGCCCUUACGAGUAGGGCUACACACGUGCUACAAUGGCGCAUACAAAGAGAAGCGAACUUGCGAGAGUAAGCGGACCUCAUAAAGUGCGUCGUAGUCCGGAUUGGAGUCUGCAACUCGACUCCAUGAAGUCGGAAUCGCUAGUAAUCGUAGAUCAGAAUGCUACGGUGAAUACGUUCCCGGGCCUUGUACACACCGCCCGUCACACCAUGGGAGUGGGUUGCAAAAGAAGUAGGUAGCUUAACCUUCGGGAGGGCGCUUACCACUUUGUGAUUCAUGACUGGGGUGAAGUCGUAACAAGGUAACCGUAGGGGAACCUGCGGUUGGAUCACCUCCUUACC